CACGUAGGAGGCAAGCGUUGUCCGGAAUUACUGGGUGUAAAGCGCGUGUAGGUGGUGGGCCAAGUCUGUGGUGAAAUCGCCCGGCUCAACUGGGCGGGGUCCGUGGAAACUGGUCGACUGGAGGACGGUAGAGGCGAGUGGAAUUCCCGGUGUAGUGGUGAAAUGCGUAGAGAUCGGGAGGAACACCAGUGGCGAAGGCGGCUCGCUGGGCCGGUCCUGACACUGAGACGCGAAGGCGUGGGGAGCGAACGGG
rnacentral:rRNA from 1 species